CAGGCACGAGACCAAAUUUUGGUCCAACAGGCGACAGGCGUGAGCCCAACUCCCAGAGCGAACCAACGCCUUCUCCCUACCCAACCCCGCUCGCCGGCGCCGCCUCCGCCUCCUUCCUUCUCCCUUCCUCCCCGCGGCCGACCUCUCCCCUUGGCCGCGGAGGUUCGGCCCUGGACGACGAAGGCAGAGCGCGUCCAAACGCGCACCUUUUCCCCGCGGCUGCCGACGGCCAAAAUCGCUGCAAGGCGGGCCGGUGAGGCUGCCCCCGUCCCCGGCGACCGCUGCUCUUCGCCGUACGUCGUAUGGAAUUCUGGAUCCGGCGACUGCGUCCGCCACCAUCCAUCUGCUCGCGCGCAUCGGAGCUGGGGGCGACGGCGACGGCGGAAUCGGCGGAGCGGCCGUCGCGGUUCCGCCGGGUCGGCUCCUGCCGCGUCAGCGCCAAGCUGUGGAACUAGGAGCCACCAGGAAGACGCCGUAGAGCUCGGCAAGUUUGCUCGCUGCUUCCCCACGACCUAGUGUGUCGAGGUCUACUGGUCUGCAGCCACUUACCCGAGCUGCUGCCGGCGUCCACGUCCCCCGGCACCUGCCGCUGGCCACCUCUCCAACCUGCUGCUGCCGGCGACCUUCCGCUGCUGUUGCUGCUGAGCACCUCUUCUCCUCGUCCAUGUUCAAAGCAUAGAGGAGAUGAACGGCGUGAAGCCGGGGUACCGUGAGGUGCUGUUGGAGGCGCGGUGGUGAAGGCCAUCGCUGACAUGCAGAAGUGCACCGGGGACAUGCUCAGGGUUUGGCUCUCCGACGCCACUCCUUUGGCUUCGACAACUAACCUCCUACAGCGGUGGUCUGUUCUUCGUCUCGAUUGUUUAUGUGAGAUUUAGGCCUAGCCAUGGCUGUGCUGGGCUCUGGCAUGCGAGCUGAUGAGCUCCCCCUUAACACUUUAGUGGUGGUGAUAUGACUUGGUCAUUGGUUGAUCUCGCUGUCAUGUUGGAUAACGAGGACUGGAAGACAGCAGCGGCAUUCACCAUUGACUCCAUGUGUGUAGGGAAGUUUGUGGUUCCCCCUCUUGUGUUUUCUUUAGGCUUGUGAUCUCCACAAGUCCUGUGGAAAGAGCGUAACCGUUGUGUAUUUGAGUCCAAAUCUGCUUCUGCAGCAGUUGUUGUAGGACUAACCCAUGAGGAUUUCCGUUUGUUUGAGUUAGCGAGGAGGGUUUAGUCUGUGUUGUUUUUGUUUUCUCUUCUGAAAAGCACUGCAUUGGCCUGUAAAAAUUAAAAACAUGUCCAUUGCUGGCCUAGAGGUUUCGUUUCCUCACUUGCUAUCAAUCUAAUAAGAAGAUUUGUUUGUAGGGUUUGGAAAUGGCACUGAAAGGUGCGAUUGUGCCCAUGUUGUGUGCUGCUUAGGACUUUGCUUUAUUGAGCAUGGUGUGUUCUUGUUUGAUGUGGACCGGACUGCAGCGGUGACGACAGUCUUCUCCAUGCAUGUGUUUAGGUUCGUUCUUGGGUCGUUCUUGGCGCUGGAUGGUUGGGGAGUGUCAUGUUGCCUAGGAGGACGUUGCUACUUGCUUGUGUCCGUCCGUCUGGCAUGGCAUUGUGGCCGUGGCGGCCUGUGUGUGUGUUUGUGCUUGGGAGGAUGGAUUGUUGUAAUGUUUGGGUGGUGGAAAGGACCACGUACAGGUUGUUUGCUUCAUUGCUUGUUGUAAUGGUUGAUGGUUGUGUAGUGAUGUUUGGUGUCGCGAUGCAUGGGUCGGUAGUGCGGGCCUGUAGUUGUGAGGCUGAAAUGUGUUUGUAGAUGAUUUGACAGAUCGAAUUUGGUGUUUGAUGAGCCAGAAAUUCGAAAAUCUGAAGCGUCACACUGGGGCGGUCAGAAGAGGAAGAGGCCGGUUAGAAAACGAUGAGUGAAUUCCAGUUUUUACCUCCUAAUUUGUUAUUUUUGACACUAGUUACACGGUUUAACGGGUUUUCAUCCAAAUUACUCCAUCUAGUGAACGUUUUGCAGUCCUCUUAAAUGUUAAAUAGCGUUUGAUAGGUCGUCAGAUCCGUGUGGUGUGCCACGCAUACCGAUGUACAGUUUUUUUUUUCCGCAAUCCAGAUGAUACGGCGGCGGCAUUGGCCUCAGAUGCUCAAGAGAAGACGAUUGAGGGUGUUCAAACAACUAGUGGCAGCCGCAACGAUUGGUGUCAAGCGUGCCAUCGAUCUUUGCAGCGCUUGUUGUGCUAGCUUUUGCUUUUCAUUUCAGCUUCUUGUGUUGCUGCUAUGUACUUGGGCGAAGAAUGAUUGCGACUCGAUGCAUGUGUUAGGAAAUAUUGUGGCUAGAAGUUAGCGUCAGAUGUAGGCUAAUGUAGCAGUUAAUAUUUCCAUUAGGAUAACCGCUUGCAGUUAACAUUUGUCCAUUGCAAUUGCCUAGCGUUGUCUAAACGCAACCAUCCCAAGGGAUGCAUGUAAACCGACUAUGUACUCACGACUGUUGGGGUACUAUAAAUACCCCAGGUCCCUAUCAAUGAAAGUAUCCAUUUGCCAUUCUAUCUUUGUCUCUCUUCACGUUAUCAA